rnacentral:rRNA from 1 species
GACGAACGCUGGCGGCGUGCCUAAUACAUGCAAGUCGAACGCAGUGGGGACGGGUGAGUAACACGUGGGUAACCUCCCAUCAGAGGGGAUAACACUUGGAAACAGGUGCUAAACCGAUACUGAUGGAUGGACCCGCGGUGCAUUAGCUAGUUAGUGGAGUAACGGCCCACCAAGGCCACGAUGCAUAGCAGACCAGGGGUGGUAAACGUCCACACUAGGACUGAGAGACAGCCCCGACUCCUACGAGAGGGCGCAGUAGGGAAUCUUCGGCAAUGGACGAAAGUCUGACCGAGCAACGCCGCGUGAGUGAAGAAGGUUUUCGGAUCGUAAAACUCUGUUGUUAGAGAAGCGGUAUCUAACCAGAAAGCCACGGCUAACUACGUGCCAGCAGCCGCGGUAAUUC